rnacentral:rRNA from 1 species
CGGGUGAGUAACACGUGAGUAAUCUGCCCUUGAGUGGGGAAUAACUUCGCGAAAGCGGAGAUAAUACCGCAUAACACUCUGAAGCAUAAGCUUUCAGAGUCAAAGCCUUCGGGCGCUUGAGGAUGAGCUCGCGGCCUAUUAGCUUGUUGGUAGGGUAACGGCCUACCAAGGCUUCGAUGGGUAGCCGGCCUGAGAGGGUGUACGGCCACACUGGAACUUAGACACGGUCCAG